UCCCUGGUGGCUCAGAGGGUAAAGCGUCUGCCUGCAAUGCGGGAGACCCAGGCUCAAUCCCUGGGUUGGGGA
rfam:TPA: Bos taurus chromosome 24, whole genome shotgun sequence.